UAGGGAAUCUUCCACAAUGGACGAAAGUCUGAUAGAGCAACGCCGCGUGAGUGAAGAAGGUUUUCGGAUCGUAAAGCUCUGUUGUUGGUGAAGAAGGAUAGAGGCAGUAACUGGUCUUUAUUUGACGGUAAUCAACCAGAAAGUCACGGCUAACUACGUGCCAG
rnacentral:rRNA from 1 species